rnacentral:hammerhead_ribozyme from 1 species
AGUUAGCUGACGAGUCCCAAAUAGGACGAAGUGCGCAUCUUGAUU